UGAAUCCACGCGGGAGAGUCCCCGGCAGUUCCCCCAAGGCCCCAGCGGGCCGGGAGGAUCGCGGGGCGCCGAAGGAGCAAGUCCCUCCCUUGAAUCUCUCAGGCCCCGUACCGCGUGGAUGAG
rnacentral:ncRNA from 2 species